UGUUUCCUCUGUUCUCUUUUUCCCUCAGCCUUUCAUUAUCCUAAGCUUAACGUGUCUCAGCUGAUGAAAUCUUCCUGGGUGAGAACAGUUCUCUUGGGUGUCGUCGACCAGCGAAUUCAGGAGGAAGUGUUUCAGGCUGAGAUGGAGCGGAAGCUAGCUCACCUGUUAAACGAGGCUUUGGCCAGAGGGCGGAUAUGGAGACGAGCCAGUUUUGCAGGCAGCAACAUUGUGCAGGAGAUGCCUAGAAAAGGAGAUAGAGUGGUCAUCUGAGUCAAAAAGGUACUUUGCUGGAGCAGCUACUUUGCAGGUCUCUUGUUUUUGUGAAGGUUUAGAAAU